rnacentral:rRNA from 1 species
GAUGAACGCUGGCGGCGUGCCUAAUACAUGCAAGUCGAGCGAACGGACGAGAAGCUUGCUUUUCUGAUGUUAGCGGCGGACGGGUGAGUAACACGUGGAUAACCUACCUAUAAGACUGGGAUAACUUCGGGAAACCGGAGCUAAUACCGGAUAAUAUUUUGAACCGCAUGGUUCAAAAGUGAAAGACGGUCUUGCUGUCACUUAUAGAUGUAUCCACGCUGCAUUAGCUAGUUGGUAAGGUAACGGCUUACCAAGGCAACGAUGCAUAGCCGACCUGAGAGGGUGAUCGGCCACACUGGAACUGAGACACGGUCCAGACUCCUACGGGAGGCAGCAGUAGGGAAUCUUCCGCAAUGGGCGAAAGCCUGACGGAGCAACGCCGCGUGAGUGAUGAAGGUCUUCGGAUCGUAAAACUCUGUUAUUAGGGAAGAACAUAUGUGUAAGUAACUGUGCACAUCUUGACGGUACCUAAUCAGAAAGCCACGGCUAACUACGUG